UACGAAGGGUGCAAGCGUUACUCGGAAUUACUGGGCGUAAAGCGUGCGUAGGUGGUUUGUUAAGUCUGCUGUGAAAUCCCCGGGCUCAACCUGGGAAUGGCCGUUGAAACUGGCGAACUGGAGUGUGGCAGAGGGGGGUGGAAUUCCGCGUAUAGCAGUGAAAUGCGUAGAGAUGCGGAGGAACACCGAUGGCGAAGGCAGCCCCCUGGGCUGACACUGACGCUCAGGCACGAAAGCGUGGGGAGCAAACAGG
rnacentral:rRNA from 1 species